CCUCAAAUCAGGUAGGACUACCCGCUGAACUUAAGCAUAUCAAUAAGCGGAGGAAAAGAAACUAACAAGGAUUCCCUUAGUAACUGCGAGUGAAGCGGGAAAAGCUCAAAUUUAAAAUCUGGCAGACAUUUUGGAUGCCCGAGUUGUAAUCUAGAGAAGUGUUAUCCGUGUUGGACCAUGUAAAAGUCUUCUGGAAUGGAGCAUCAUAGAGGGUGAGAAUCCCGUCUUUGACAUGGACUACCAAUGCAUUGUGAUGCGCUCUCAAAGAGUCGAGUUGUUUGGGAAUGCAGCUCAAAAUGGGUGGUAAAUUCCAUCUAAAGCUAAAUAUUAGCGAGAGACCGAUAGCGAACAAGUACCGUGAGGGAAAGAUGAAAAGAACUUUGGAAAGAGAGUUAAAAAGUACGUGAAAUUGCUGAAAGGGAAACGCUUGAAGUCAGUCACGUUAGCCGGAAAUCAACCUUGCUUUUGCUGGGCGUACUUUCUGGUUAAUGGGUCAGCAUCAAUUUUGACUGUUGGAAAAAGUUCAGAGGAAUGUGGCAUCUUCGGAUGUGUUAUCGCCUCGUUCCAUAUACAACGGUUGGGAUGUAGGAACUGCAUAGCCGCAAGGCCGGGUUAUA
rnacentral:rRNA from 1 species